ensembl:lncRNA
AUUGGGAUUAGUGCUCUAAAAGAGUCAGGAGAGAGCUUCCUCUUUCUGUUCUCCACUGUGUGAGGACACAAGAAAUGAGGCCACUUUAAUAUCCUGCCAUGGCACUUAGUAGUGAAGAUCAAGAGUAGCCUGGGGGAGACCCAAGACAGGUUUAAUGAGACCAGUGUCAAACAUCUUGAAAGAAUACAACCCUUAAAGUUCAGGCCCAGCACUUUGGAGAUUGCAGAGCAAGAAGAAUCCACAAGGGGCCUUCCCUGGCGGUCCAGUGGUUAAGAAUACUCUAGUUCAAUCCCUGGUCAGGGAACUAAGAGCCCACAAGCCACAACUAGAGAGUCUGUUCCCUGCAAUGAAAGACCCUGCAUGACACAAUGAAGACCUGAUGCAGCCAAAUAAAUAAUAAAUAAAAAUUUUAAAAAAGAAGAAGAAUGCACAGGGAUUCAGAGGGCAAGGUGCCAUCCUGGAACCCUCAGGAAUCCUUCCCUUCCAGGAUCCUAGUUCCCCAACCAGGAAUUGAACCUGAACCCCCUUCACUGGAAGUGCAUAGCCUUAAUCACUGGACCACUAAGGAAGAGCAACUUUCUGAGUGUCACCUAUGGAGAAUUUGAAGGAAUGGAGUCUUCCCUAAAAAAUUGUCAAAAAUGCCCUUACAGGAAACGUCACCAAAACAUAAAAGAUCAAUAGAUCAUUAGGUUGUCUAAUGGCGGACAUUUUCCAUGUGAAGCUCUGAAUCAACAGCGAACAAAAGCAACUGUUCAGAACCCUCCAAAAAAAAAAAAAAAAAAUUGCCCAGUAAUUUUAAGUUAAUGGGCAAGAUUAAUGGAUUGUCAUAUAAUAUGAAGGGAAAGUAUUAGAAAAAAAAAAAAAAAAACCCAAGUGGCUCUACAAAAUUGGUUUGGAAUUGGAGUCUACCUGAAG